rnacentral:rRNA from 1 species
GACGAACGCUGGCGGCGUGCCUAACACAUGCAAGUCGAACGGAAAGGCCCUGCUUUUGUGGGGUGCCCGAGUGGCGAACGGGUGAGUAACACGGGAGUAUCCUGCCCUUUACUUUGUGAUAACUUCAGGAAACUGGGGCUAAUACCGGAUAGGAGCGCCUGCUGCAUGGUGGGGGUUGGAAAGUUUCGGCGGUUGGGGAUGGACUCGCGGCUUAUCAGCUUGUUGGUGGGGUAGUGGCUUACCAAGGCUUUGACGGGUAGCCGGCCUGAGAGGGUGACCGGCCACAUUGGUACUACGAGACGGCCCAGACGCCUACGGGAGGCAGCAGUGGGGAAUAUUGCACAAUGGGGGGAAGCCUGAUGCAGCAACGCCGCGUGCGGGAUGACGGCCUUGGGGUUGUAAACCGCUUUAGCCUGUGACGAAGCGUUAGUGACGGUAAUGGGUAAAGAAGCACCGGCUAACUACGUG